rnacentral:rRNA from 1 species
ACUCCCAGCACGGGGAGGUAGUGACAAAAAAUAACGAUAUGGGACUCAUCCGAGGCCCCAUAAUCGGAAUGAGUACACUUUAAAUCCUUUAACAAGGAUCUAUUGGAGGGCAAGUCUGGUGCCAGCAGCCGCGGUAAUUCCAGCUCCAAUAGCGUAUAUUAAAGUUGUUGCGGUUAAAAAGCUCGUAGUUGGUUCUGUGUGCCAUGCUGUCGGUUUAGCGCCUGCCGCUAUAACUGACAUGUUGUGGGGCGUCCUGUCGGUGGCAAUUAAAGGCCUUCGUUUGAUAGGAGUGAUCCUGUUAAUACGUAGGUUACUUUAAUUACCGAUUAAAUCCUGCCGCGGUGCUCUUCACUGAGUGUCGAGGUGGGCCGAUACGUUUACUUUGAACAAAUUAGAGUGCUUAAAGCAGGCAAAAGUCUGCCUGAAUAGUAGUGCAUGGAAUAAUAGAAUAUGACCUUGUUUCUAUUUUGUUGGUUUCCGGAGCACAAGGUAAUGAUCAAUAUGGACAGGCGGGGGCAUUUGUAUUGCGACGUUAGAGGUGAAAUUCUUGGAUCGUCGCAGGACAAACUAGAGCGAAAGCAUUUGCCAAGUAUGUCUUAAUUGAUCAAGAACGAAAGUUAGAGGCUCGAAGGCGAUCAGAUACCGCCCUAGUUCUAACCAUAAACGAUGUCAGCCAGCGAUCCGCCGAUGUUUUUUUCAUGACUCGGCAGGCAGCUUCCGGGAAACCAAAGCUUUUGGGUUCCGGGGGAAGUAUGGUUGCAAAGCUGAAACUUAAAGGAAUUGACGGAAGGGCACCACAAGGCGUGGGGCCUGCGGCUUAAUUUGACUCAACACGGGGAACCUCACCAGGCCCAGACAUUGGAAGGAUUGACAGAUUGAUAGCUCUUUCUUGAUUCAGUGGGUAGUGGUGC